rnacentral:lncRNA from 7 species
GGCCAAGUCCUGCUUUGCAGCCAGCAGAGGAAGUGUGGGGCACCUUGCUCUGCAGCACCCCAGCCCUGCAGCGCCGUGCCUCGUGGCACCCUAUCUCAUGCAGGUAAGAAGUCAAUGUCAAGAAGAUAGAUUGAAUCUUGAAUUUGAGUAACAAAUUCCUGGAUUUGUAAGCAUCCCAGUGUUUAAGACAUCUGCCACUCACUUCCUCCUUUCCAGAGCGUCAUUGCAAAAGGAGUAAUGAGGGGAUUGUUUCAGGCUUUCCUUUCAUGACAUUUAGGAGGAAAGGAAACUGCUGUUGAAUAUGAGAUGCCUGGGAUUUCUGUUUUAUAUUAUACUUCUUAAAUGUUUGAACUCUGCUUCAGGAUGGAACAAGUUAGAAUUGAAACUGCAGGGUGGCUUAAAUGCCUUCUUAAAACAGCAUCUUCUCUCCUCCUCGAUAAGAAGCAAGCCUAAUGGUAGAUCUGUAUGUUGCAUUUUAUUCAGUGGAAUGCUGGUGCUGCAGGCAGGUACCUUCCCUCAGUCCCAGCUCAGCUCCAACUAGAAACUAGUGCCCAGUUCAUAUACUUGCAACAAAGUGAUGUAUAAUCUCCUUGUAAUUGUAUUGGUCAUAUUUGCUGUACACUGGAAACAAACUUGAGAGAUUCACAGGUUCACUAGAAGGGCAACUGAGAUGAAACUCAUUUCCUAAUAUAUUUUAUCUGUGCCAGCAAUGUGAUGGUUCUUCUGAACAGUGAGCAAUAAAGCUAGUUAAAAGAUC